UUCCUUUCUCACACAGUAGGUUCAAGAGAAAAUGGGUAAUUAUAGGAGACCAUAGACCCACGAGAUGGAUCAUUUAUGGGUUAAUGAAACAGUCAACAAUAUCUUGGUCCCAAUGCUUUCUCUGAUUUCACUUUACAUGAGAUUUUCCGACAUUCACCACCAACAAAUUUAGUGGAGCAAGAAGAUGAUGGUGGUAACAAGCUUAAAGUAUAUGUUGCACAUGUGGAAACAAGAAAAGCUAAACCUCUAUUUUCCUCAACAUAUGUGUUCCUCAAUGCAUUUUUUGACAAGUAUGGCCCAUGCUUGUGAUUUUUUACUAUACAUAUACCUUUAUGUUUUGACAUUAAAUAUGAAGAUGCGUGCACUUUUUAA